UACCUCCAUCCUUCACUCUCAUUCACUCACGUUCAAUCUCACUCAACAUUUCUCUCACUGCAACAUGGAGAAACCCUAGCAGCUCCUCUCCACUCACCACUCGCAGUCACUAAUCACCUCCACAGCUUCACCAUGAAGAACACCAGUCCACCACCAUUAACUCCACCACGACGAACACCACUCUCAUCUCCUUUUCUAAUUAACUUUCACGACGAACAACAACAUUUGAAAAUGUGAUCGGAUCUUAUUUCUUCUAUUUUUCGACUUUUGUUUGCAAGUUUCUAUGGGGAUGAUGCUCCAAUCAGGGUGUUCAAUAGAUUAGGCUUAAGCAUUACGCUGUUACGGUAAGCUAUUGCGUGUUCUUGCUAUACCUUUUAUGACUAACUGUGUUAUAGUUUACAUUCCAUUAAAUCAGUUGUUUUCUUCUCCAUCAAUAUUUCGUUUGAUGCCGCCACAUAAGAUCUUUCUUCCCGCCGCACAAAUCUUCUUCGAUUCUCUACUGUAAGAAUGAAAACCCCUAAAAGUAUUAUAUGUUUUGUUUUGGUCUUUUCCGUUUUGAUUAAGAUUAUUCAUAAACAUCCAUUAUUGUGCAUAUCAGCGUGAGUUUUUUUUCUUAAAGGAGGAUCCAUGGCUUUGGCAGAUGGAGGUGUUGUUUGCAUUGAUGAGCUUAACAAGAUGAGACUACAAGAUAGAUGUACUCAGCACUCCUUCAUUGAGACAACGAUAACUAUAUGGAAGAAGCUUUCAAAAUGAGGAAUUUGCUGCAAGAAUUUCUUAAGAAACAUGGUGGUCCCAGAUAUCCAACUAUACUUGGACUCAGAAAGCAUAUUUUUACUGGCAGAUUGUGCAUGUGUAUGUUCAUCUGGCUAGAGGUGACACAAAUUCCAUCUUUCCAUCUGCUAUCUCAAAGGAUGGCCGAUUAUACCAUGAUCAUUUGUUCAACUCUGCUGCAGACAUCCUUUGUAGAAUUGGCGAGGAUGGAAGAAUUAUACAGGAAUUUAUUCAGCUUGGUGCUAAAGCCAAAAUUACAGCUUCAGAGGCCAUGGAUGCCGAAGCUACUCUUGGAGAAAUACCAGAUGAAUUCCUGGAUCAUCCUAAAUUCAAAAAUGAUAAUAAGCAGUUGUUUCUGCAAGAGCAGCAUACUCAUUGUUGUUUCUGUAAUUGGCUGAAGUGCACUGCUCCAGAGAUAGAAGUAGGCUGCCUUGAAAUGGAACAAGAACUGAUAUGCCUAUAUAUGUUUUUGUAGUAUUUAACACCAUUUGUGGAGAACGAAAACUACGAGCUUUAAAAAAGUGCAGACUUCACCCUGAGAAUGAUAUGUUUAGGGAACAAGAAGAGCAUAAAAUUAACUUAAACAUAAAUGAAUGGCGCUGUGGAUAUUGCAAGAAAAGCUUCCGCGGAGAAAAAUUUAUUGAUCAUCAUUUUGAUAAAAGGCACUACAAUCUUCUGGAUUUGGUAUGUUAAUUUUCAUUUGAGUAUCUCUUAUUUUUUCUUUUGGCUAGAAUGCUCAAUAUUACUUCACAUGUAUUACUGUUUUUCAUGUCAAAUAUGGAUAUGAUGAUGCCUAUUAAUUUUCAUUUAUGUUGGAUUAAAAUGUGGUUCUAUACUCUUAAGAUUUAAAUAAGCGCAUCUUUUUUGUUAUCAUUUGUUUCUAUUAAAUUAAACCUGAAUAGGUCGAUAUUCAAAAUAUAGACAGCCUACAGCACAUGAAGUUAUUUGAUUUUGCAUAGUUCACUAUGUUUCCGACUCUUUCGAUGGUUUAGAGAAGUAGGACUGGUAGGUUUUCAACUGUACAAGAUUGUUCACUUUUCCAAGAUGAUUUCAUACCUUUUGGCUUGAAGCAUCAUUACAUAUUUCAGAAAUUCUACUGAGAAAUAAGGGUCAAGUUCACUCUAUCUUGACGUGAAGUUUUAAUUCUAAAAGUGGGAGACUGUUUUUUAUUUUCAAAGAAUUAAGAUUGGCGGAUGAUCAGUUCAAUUAGAUUCAUAAAUUGCUAAAGGAUAUUGAGCCAUUUGUAUCAUAGAGGUUGUAAUGAUGUAGAAGUAUUUGGGAAAAUUUUAAUCUUAGCCUAUUUAAAUUUGAUUAACCAACUGUACAUUGUUACUUUUUCGGCAAUCUUUGGAGCCGCAAACAACUAUAUACUAGGUUGGUUUUUAAGGAGGGCACAUAACUCAUUUUAUGAUGCUUCAUUAUUUUGGUCAACAUUUGUUCUUCUUACAUUUAAUGAUUAAAAUAUAGUAUGUAUGGCAAUGGUGGAUGAUGAUGAU